AUGCAACUCUAUAGAUAUCUGAUGAGCCGACAAGGACAAAAACAAUGCGGACAAGAACAGCUAUAUAAAACCUCAGAGAGCGAAGGCUACAUUUCAGGAAAAUCCUUCAUGGAACAAGCAGGGCAAGAAAACGCACAAAUGGAAGGCUCCAUGCUAAACGCGCUACUGGACGAAUGGAGAGAACAGAAACAGUUCAACCCAGACGUCACAACUGUACUCCCUACAGAAUUCACAAAUAUGGUGCUAGGUCUCAAUUAUAAAAGAGGCGAGCUAUCAGAAUUCAACGAAGACGAUGCACUACAAGCAUUUGAACAACUCGUGCGAGGUAAAAACAUCCUGCACUCGAAGAUGAUCAUGAUAUCUCAUCACACAGACAAGCACUACACGCUAUAUGUAAUGAACAAGUACAGAGAUAGCAUCGACAUUCUUGACUCACUGAACUAUGUCACCGAUUUGUCUUGGAGUAAACACCAUGUGCAUCGAGCAGAACUGAUGAGAAGGAUGUCGGUGUUGAUGAACAAGUACCAUCAACUAAAAGACAAGAACGAACCAGACUGGGCAAGGAUAGCAGAAAGGCCUCACAGGAUCUGCACACCAAAGCAAAAAGGAACACAAUGCGGACACUUCAUGGCCCAAUUUGCAAAACACUGGAAUGGGAAAGAACUGGUCAAGGACAGAGAGGAUUUUCAUCACAACAAGGUGGAUGCAGAAUGGAAACCAGAGUACGUAUACACGCUCAUAUUCGGUAAAACCAACCAAAUAAAGCACCAUCAACUUCCUGAAAAAAUCAAACUUUUCAAACCAGAGACUACAAACCAUUUUCCCCCAUGA
rnacentral:rRNA from 1 species